ACUCCUACGGGAGGCAGCAGUGGGGAAUAUUGCACAAUGGGGGAAACCCUGAUGCAGCCAUGCCGCGUGUGUGAAGAAGGCCUUCGGUUGUAAAGACACUUCUAGUAGGGAGGAAGGUAGUGUAGUUAACACCUGCAUUAUUUGUACGUUACCUACAGAAGAAGCACCGGCUAACUCCGUGCCAGCAGCCGCGGUAAGUACGGAGGGUGCGAGCGUUAAUCGGAAUUACGUGGGCGUAAAGCGCAUGCAGGCGGCCUGUUAAGUCAGAUGUGAAAGCCCGGGGUCUUAACCUCGGAAUUGCAUUUGAAACUGGCAGGCUAGAGUCUUGUAGAGGGGUUAAGUAA
rnacentral:rRNA from 1 species